rnacentral:lncRNA from 1 species
AAUCACCACAGAUGACCUCUGAGAAAACUUAUGAUCAUCAUCUGUACCUGUGAGACCACAGUUUGAUGUAUGGCAACACUGCUCCACUUUGGACAUGCCUUUGUCGUGGUUCCUGCCUUUCCCAGAGAGCCCCUCGGAGGCCCAAAAUGAAGAGAGGCAAUGAAGUCAAGGGCCCGGCUAUCAUUCACUGACACCCACUUUUGGGGAUCUUAGGCAGGGUGACAGCUCUGAGAGCCAGGAGCCCGAGUCUGUCUCAAGAACUUGCACAUGCCUGUCUCAGAGCACCAGGCCUGAUUGUGAGCUCUGGCUAGCGUCACAGUGAAUGUCAUCAUUGCCUAGCGACUGUUCCUCCGGCUUGGCAGAGAAGGAGACAUUCAUGAAGAUGUGUCGGCA